rnacentral:rRNA from 1 species
CGUAGGGUGCGAGCGUUAAUCGGAAUUACUGGGCGUAAAGCGUGCGCAGGCGGUUUUGUAAGACAGACGUGAAAUCCCCGGGCUCAACCUGGGACCUGCAUUUGUGACUGCAAGGCUAGAGUACGGUAGAGGGGGAUGGAAUUCCGCGUGUAGCAGUGAAAUGCGUAGAUAUGCGGAGGAACACCGAUGGCGAAGGCAAUCCCCUGGACCUGUACUGACGCUCAUGCACGAAAGCGUGGGGAGCAAACAGGAUUAGAUACCCUGGUAGUCCACGCCCUAAACGAUGUCAACUGGUUGUUGGGUCUUUACUGACUCAGUAACGAAGCUAACGCGUGAAGUUGACCGCCUGGGGAGUACGGCCGCAAGGUUG